CGUCGAUUAACUGAGUAAUGGUAGAGCACUGAAUAGGCUAGGGGGCAUAUCGCUUACCGAACCUUAUCAAACUCCGAAUGCCAUAUACUUUUAUUUCGGCAGUCAGACUGCGAAUGAUAAGAUCCGUAGUCAAAAGGGAAACAGCCCAGACCAUCAGCUAAGGUCCCAAAGUGUAAGUUAAGUGGUAAAGGAUGUGGGAUUUCUAAGACAACUAGGAUGUUGGCUUAGAAGCAGCCACUCAUUUAAAGAGUGCGUAAUAGCUCACUAGUCAAGAGAUCCCGCGCCGAAGAUGUCCGGGGCUAAAACUUACCACCGAAGCUAUGGAUGUACACUAUGUGUACGUGGUAGAGGAGCUUUCUGCAUUGGCUGAAGUCAUACCGUAAGGAGUGGUGGACGAUGCAGAAGUGAGAAUGUUGGCAUAAGUAGCGAGAGCCAGGUGAGAAUCCUGGCGGUCGAAAACCUAAGGUUUCCUGAGGAAGGCUCGUCCUCUCAGGGUUAGUCGGGACCUAAGCCGAGGCCGAAAGGCGUAGGUGAUGGACAACUGGUUGAUAUUCCAGUACUACCAACUGACGUUAUCAGAAAUGGGGUGACGCAGGAGGAUAGGAUGUGCACACUGUUGGAUGUGUGUCUAAGCGUUUAGGAGUAGCUGGCAGGCAAAUCCGCCAGCCGAAUCUGAGGCGUGAUGGGGAGCUCGUAUGAGCGAAGUAUCUGAUUCCACGCUGCCAAGAAAAGCCUCUAUCGAGGAAGUUGGUACCCGUACCGCAAACCGACACAGGUAGGUGAGGAGAGAAUCCUAAGACCAUCGGAAGAAUUGCUGUUAAGGAACUCGGCAAAUUGACCCCGUAACUUCGGGAGAAGGGGUGCCACCGACUGAUGA
rnacentral:ncRNA from 1 species